AUACGGAGGAUGCGAGCGUUAUCCGGAUUUAUUAGGUUCAAAGGGUGUGUAGGCGGUAUUUUAAGUCAGUGGUGAAAUCUCGGAGCUUAACUUCGAAACUGCCAUUGAUACUGGAAUACUUGAGUAUAGUUGAGGUAGGCGGAAUAUGUAAUGUAGCGGUGAAAUGCAUAGAUAUUACAUAGAACACCGAUUGCGAAGGCAGCUUACUAAACUAUUACUGACGCUGAUGCACGAAAGCGUGGGGAGCGAACAGGAUUAGAAACCCUAGUAGUCC
rnacentral:rRNA from 1 species